CGAUGAUGGGAGGAGCGGAUCCAUGGGAGAGGGGCUGAGACCUUUGAUUCGGAUGAAGGUCUGGCCGCGGGAUCUCGGGAAGACACCAUUCACGGACGCGUGAUGUUGGGAUGGAGUUCUGGGAUGGAAGAAGAAGGCAGGCGAUCAACGGGGCUUCACGAGCAGCGGAGGAGCUGAGAGCGUGAUCGACGGAGCUUGACGCUGAU
rnacentral:lncRNA from 1 species